GAUGAACGCUGGCGGCGUGCCUAAUACAUGCAAGUCGAGCGAACAGAUGAGGAGCUUGCUCCUCUGACGUUAGCGGCGGACGGGUGAGUAACACGUGGAUAACCUACCUAUAAGACUGGGAUAACUUCGGGAAACCGGAGCUAAUACCGGAUAAUAUAUCGAACCGCAUGGUUCAAUAGUGAAAGACGGUUUUGCUGUCACUUAUAGAUGGAUCCGCGCCGCAUUAGCUAGUUGGUAAGGUAACGGCUUACCAAGGCAACGAUGCGUAGCCGACCUGAGAGGGUGAUCGGCCACACUGGAACUGAGACACGGUCCAGACUCCUACGGGAGGCAGCAGGAGGGAAUCUUCCGCAAUGGGCGAAAGCCUGACGGAGCAACGCCGCGUGAGUGAUGAAGGUCUUCGGAUCGUAAAACUCUGUUAUUAGGGAAGAACAAAUGUGUAAGUAACGAUGCACGUCUUGACGGUACCUAAGCAGAAAGCCACGGCUAACUACGU
rnacentral:rRNA from 1 species